GAUGAACGCUGGCGGCGUGCCUAAUACAUGCAAGUCGAGCGAACGGACGAGAAGCUUGCUUCUCUGAUGUUAGCGGCGGACGGGUGAGUAACACGUGGAUAACCUACCUAUAAGACUGGGAUAACUUCGGGAAACCGGAGCUAAUACCGAUAAUAUUUUGAACCGCAUGGUUCAAAAGUGAAAGACGGUCUUGCUGUCACUUAUAGAUGGAUCCGCGCUGCAUUAGCUAGUUGGUAAGGUAACGGCUUACCAAGGCAACGAUGCAUAGCCGACCUGAGAGGGUGAUCGGCCACACUGGAACUGAGACACGGUCCAGACUCCUACGGGAGGCAGCAGUAGGGAAUCUUCCGCAAUGGGCGAAAGCCUGACGGAGCAACGCCGCGUGAGUGAUGAAGGUCUUCGGAUCGUAAAACUCUGUUAUUAGGGAAGAACAUAUGUGUAAGUAACUGUGCACAUCUUGACGGUACCUAAUCAGAAAGCCACGGCUAACUACGUG
rnacentral:rRNA from 1 species